GGGAGUGGUAAGGUCCUGGUGGGCCUCCUGGACUUCAAAUCCAUGGUACACAUUUACUGUGUAGGUGGGUUCGAUUCCCAUGCACUCCCGCCA
rnacentral:tRNA from 1 species